UACGUAGGGGGCAAGCGUUGUCCGGAAUCAUUGGGCGUAAAGCGCGCGUAGGCGGCCCGGUAAGUCCGCUGUGAAAGUCAAAGGCUCAACCUUUGAAUGUCAGCGGAUACUGCCGGGCUAGAGUCCGGAAGAGGCGAGUGGAACUCCUGGUGUAGCGGUGGAAUGCGCAGAUAUCAGGAGGAACACCAAUGGCGAAGGCAGCUCGCUGGGACGGUACUGACGCUGAGGCGCGAAAGCGUGGGGGAGCAAACAGG
rnacentral:rRNA from 1 species